GAUGAACGCUGGCGGCGUGCCUAAUACAUGCAAGUCGAGCGAACAGACGAGGAGCUUGCUCCUCUGACGUUAGCGGCGGACGGGUGAGUAACACGUGGAUAACCUACCUAUAAGACUGGGAUAACUUCGGGAAACCGGAGCUAAUACCGGAUAAUAUAUUGAACCGCAUGGUUCAAUAGUGAAAGACGGUUUUGCUGUCACUUGUAGAUGGAUCCGCGCCGCAUUAGCUAGUUGGUAAGGUAACGGCUUACCAAGGCAACGAUGCGUAGCCGACCUGAGAGGGUGAUCGGCCACACUGGAACUGAGACACGGUCCAGACUCCUACGGGAGGCAGCAGUAGGGAAUCUUCCGCAAUGGGCGAAAGCCUGACGGAGCAACGCCGCGUGAGUGAUGAAGGUCUUCGGAUCGUAAAACUCUGUUAUUAGGGAAGAACAAAUGAGUAAGUAACUAUGCACGUCUUGACGGUACCUAAUCAGAAAGCCACGGCUAACUACGUG
rnacentral:rRNA from 1 species